rnacentral:rRNA from 1 species
AUUGAACGCUGGCGGCAGGCCUAACACAUGCAAGUCGAGCGAGCGGCGGACGGGUGAGUAAUGUAUGGGGACUGCCCGAUAGAGGGGGAUAACUACUGGAAACGGUAGCUAAUACCGCAUACUAUCGGAUAACCCAUAUGGGAUUAGCUAGUAGGUGAGGUAAUGGCUCACCUAGUAGACGAUCCCUAUCUGGUCUGAGAGGAUGUUCAGCCACAUUGGGACUGAGCCCCGGCCCAGACUCCUCCGGAGGAAGAAGUGGGUAAUAGUGCACAAUGGGCGCAAGCCUGAUGCAGCCAUGCCGCGUGUAUGAAGAAGGCCCUAGGGUUGUAAAGUACUUUCAGUCGGGAGGCGUUACUGACAGAAGAAGCACCGGCUAACUCCGUGCCAGCAGCCGCGGUAAUUC